AAUCAACGCUGGCGGCGUGCCUAACACAUGCAAGUCGAACGCGAAAGUCCCGCAAGGGAUGAGUAGAGUGGCAAACGGGUGAGUAACACGUGGGUGACCUGCCUUCGAGCGGGGGAUAACGUCCCGAAAGGGACGCUAAUACCGCAUAACAUCCUGCCUUUGAAGAGGCGGUGAUCAAAGCUGGGGAUCGCAAGACCUAGCACUCGAAGAGGGGCCCGCGUCCGAUUAGCUAGUUGGUGAGGUAACGGCUAACCAAGGCAACGAUCGGUAGCCGGCCUGAGAGGGCGGACGGCCACACUGGGACUGAGACACGGCCCAGACUCCUACGGGAGGCAGCAGUGGGGAAUUGUUCGCAAUGGGCGCAAGCCUGACGACGCAACGCCGCGUGGAGGAUGAAGAUCUUCGGGUCGUAAACUCCUUUCGAUCGAGACGAAUUCCUCCGGGGUGAACAAUCCCGGAGGUUGACGGUACCGAGAGAAGAAGCCCCGGCUAACUCCGUGCCAGCAGCCGCGGUAAUACGGGGGGGGCAAGCGUUGUUCGGAAUUACUGGGCGUAAAGGGCUCGUAGGUGGCCAACUAAGUCGGACGUGAAAUCCCUCGGCUUAACCGGGGAACUGCGUCCGAUACUGGUUGGCUUGAGUUUGGGAGAGGGAUGCGGAAUUCCAGGUGUAGCGGUGAAAUGCGUAGAUAUCUGGAGG
rnacentral:rRNA from 1 species